CAUCCCCUGCCGUGCUCGAUAGUAGUUGAGAUCUCCUCGAGCCUAAUUUCCAAUUCAGGGGACUAACGUUUGGUACUGGUGUGCAUGUCCGCCGUGUGUGGAAAGCCUGAGGUGCCGCUGCCGUCCCCAUCUUGAGCCUUUGGUUCAGGGGCAACAGCUACAACGGUACAAGUGGAGGAUGC
rnacentral:other from 1 species